rnacentral:rRNA from 1 species
CAGCCGUAAACUAUGCGCGUUAGGUGUACUGGUGACCACGAGUCACCGGGGUGCCGAAGGGAAACCGUGAAACGUGCCGCCUGGGAAGUACGGUCGCAAGGCUGAAACUUAAAGGAAUUGGCGGGGGGAGCACCACAACGGGUGGAGCCUGCGGUUUAAUUGGACUCAACGCCGGAAAUCUCACCGGAUAGGACAGACAUAUGAUAGUCGGGCUGAAGACUCUACUUGAUGAUCUGAGAGGUGGUGCAUGGCGUCAGUGACU